CGCAAAGCACCGGGUCACGGAUCAAGCGUUCAGGGUCUGGUGUUUGCAAAGGGUAAGAGCAGCCGUAGGGAAUGAGCAUGGGGCCAGGCACAUGCCCUUGCCGUGCUGAGCUGACAGCCUGAGGUAGUGAGGUACACUGGAUGAAUUACUUGUGUCAGUUGUGGUGAUUCCUGGGCAUGAGCUAGGUUCCUACAAAAAUGUGCUCGGAGUGACGUUUGGAAAGCUUGCUGUGACCAUCCUCGAGCUCAGCUGAGCACAGACCUUAGGAUGCCAUUUGUGCAGUGUCUCUUUCUUCACCCCACACUGCCCGUCUGAACUGGGAGGUGCUUUAUAAGACCUAGACAUAUUCUACUAUGGCUGCCAAGGCAGCAGGCUCAGCUUGCAGCUGAAGACCAGACAGAAUUGCUGCAGCAGGGCUGUGAGGAUGAAAGUUGAUGUCCUGGUCCCUCCUCAGCCCAGCACUGAACUUGAUCCAUCACGAGGCGGUGCCGAAGGAUUCUGCUCAGCCAGGGUUUAAGUGACCAGCUUGCCAGCACUUACUGGGUGUUACAUGCACUCGUCAGACCAUCGCAAAGAAGCUGUGAGGUUCCUCCCGUGAGAGACCAGAGCGGAGGAGCUGCAGGAAACCCAGAUCUGGUGUAGCCUGCAGACACGUACACUACGCCUUUCUGAUUACUUGUGUCUGUACGAGUAAAUGUUGAUCAGUCUGCACACAU